rnacentral:rRNA from 1 species
GAUGAACGCUGGCGGCGUGCUUAACACAUGCAAGUCGAACGAUAAAGCCCAGCUUGCUGGGUGGAUUAGUGGCGAACGGGUGAGUAACACGUGAGUAACCUGCCCUUGACUCUGGGAUAAGCCCGGGAAACUGGGUCUAAUACCGGAUAGGAGCGCCUGUCGCAUGACGGGUGUUGGAAAGAUUUUUCGGUCAUGGAUGGACUCGCGGCCUAUCAGCUUGUUGGUGAGGUAAUGGCUCACCAAGGCGACGACGGGUAGCCGGCCUGAGAGGGUGACCGGCCACACUGGGACUGAGACACGGCCCAGACUCCUACGGGAGGCAGCAGUGGGGAAUAUUGCACAAUGGGCGGAAGCCUGAUGCAGCGACGCCGCGUGAGGGAUGACGGCCUUCGGGUUGUAAACCUCUUUCAGUAGGGAAGAAGCGAAAGUGACGUACCUGCAGA